GGAGUAUUCCAUUUUCCUUCCUCAUUCAUCGGAGAGCUCUCUUUGAGCUUUCUGAAAAGGUAUCACAUGCCAAGUUUGGCCUCACGGUCUAAAAGUUAUAGAGUCAUACAUUUUUAAAAAUACAAAAUAGAGAAAAACCGAAGAAAAGAGGGAUGCAACACGAGGACUUUCCGGGAGGUAAUCCAUCCUAGUACUACUCUCGCCCAAGCACCCUUAACUGCGAAGUUCUAAUGG
rnacentral:sRNA from 1 species